rnacentral:rRNA from 1 species
UACGUAGGGCGCAAGCGUUGUCCGGAAUUAUUGGGCGUAAAGAGCUCGUAGGUGGUCUGUUGCGUCCGCUGUGAAAACCCGGGGCUUAACCCUGGGCUGGCAGUGGAUACGGGCAGACUAGAGGUAGGUAGGGGAGAAUGGAAUUCCCGGUGUAGCGGUGAAAUGCGCAGAUAUCGGGAGGAACACCGGUGGCGAAGGCGGUUCUCUGGGCCUUACCUGACACUGAGGAGCGAAAGCGUGGGGAGCGAACAGG